rnacentral:misc_RNA from 1 species
GAAAUUUCUCAAGCUUGGAUGGCUUUUUUUGUCUGUCCUUAGCCUUGGUUGUUGGGCUUUGCCGUGUCCUUUGUUGGGAUGGCUGGCCUUAAAAGCAUUAGCUGAUCCACGUGUGGCACUGGUUCUACUCAGCGUGAUAACAGUCUGAUCGCUGAGGACAUCUUUUGGGAUGGCCAGUUCUCAUUUGGGUUGCUUCCAAACUUGGUUUUGCAGAUUCUUCAAUCUGUGUUCCACUUUUCAG